rnacentral:lncRNA from 1 species
UUGACCUUAAGUGAACAGGAACAGACCAUAAUUGAAAUGACAUAUUUGGCACUAACAUAAGUAGUUUCUUAGUCGUACGAACCAAACCAAAAGUGACAUAACUGUUAUCACAUCGUCUUCUAAAUAAGUACUGAACUAGAGACCACAAGUUCAUUCAUGAACUCAAUCACCAAACCAACAAGUUCAUUCAUGAACUCCAUCAGACUUUCACCUAAAGAUGCAUGUAAUGUAAACUACAAAGACAAAAAGUCAUGCAGAUCAUCAGGCCAACCUUCAUCGUAG